CGCAUCUGUGCAUGCAGCAUAUCAAUAAGCGGAGGAAAAGAAACUAACAAGGAUUCCCUUAGUAACGGCGAGUGAAGCGGGAAGAGCUCAAAUUUGAAAUCUUCAAGGUUUUACCUUGACGAAUUGUAGUUUAAAGAAGUGUUUUCUGUUGAAGUUUUGGUAAAAGUUCUUUGGAAUAGGACAUCAUAGAGGGUGAGAAUCCCGUAUUUGACCAUUAUUUUCAGCUGUGUGAUACACUUUCAAAGAGUCGGAUUGUUUGGGAAUGCAGUCCAAAAUGGGUGGUGAAUUUCAUCUAAAGCUAAAUAUUGGUCGAGAGACCGAUAGCGAACAAGUACCGUGAGGGAAAGAUGAAAAGAACUUUGAAAAGAGAGUUAAACAGUACGUGAAAUUGUCAAAAGGGAAGCGUUUGACACCAGUGUUGUUUUCUCGAAAAUCAAUUAAAAAGAGUUAGAUUUUGUUGUGUAUUGACCUUAACAGCUUGCAUUUCAAUUUUCUUGCUUUUUUUAAUGCACUUUUCGUUUAACAAGUCAACAUCAGUUUCUUUUGUUGUAAAAAGGUCAUUGGAAGGUGGCUUUCUUUUCGGAUGAAAGUGUUUAUAGCCUUUGACUCCUGCAAUCGGAGAGACUGAGGUCCGCAGCGUAGAUCCUUCGGGGUUAGAUACAUUUGUGCUAAGUUAUAGCUUUUUAUAGACAACUUGUUGACUAUGAUUAGUCUUGUAGCUUACUCGCUUAUGCUAUUUUACCUACGCUUAGGAUGUUGACACACGCGCGUGCUCG
rnacentral:rRNA from 1 species